UGGGAAGGGUCAGGACUGGCAGGAAAAGAGUGAGCCACAGGCAACACCAUACUUCAAGGGGCCAUCUUCACUGUUACUACUUGCUUUGGUUCUGGAGGUCCAGUUCUUUGCCCUGAAGAAGGUACAAAGCCCCCGUGCCACCAAGCUUUGUGCUUCAAGAGAACCAGUUCGCCCCGGUUGAGCUAAUGUUGGCGGAACCAAUGAAGUUACUCAGUCAGGAGUCUCCAUGUUGGAUGGUGACUGGUCGAGCCAAUGAAACACUUUCUCCUUGGGAAGGUUGAAGGUGAGAAGCAGACAAAAGGAGGUGCUGAGGGAGGUCCUGAGAGACGGAAGGGGAAGAGAAGCUGAGCUAGACUCCAGCCCCGCCUUCCUUGUCUGACAGAUGCCACCCUUCCCCCUACCACCCACUGCUUGAAUGUGCAGAGUCACAACUCCCUGAAGCCAGAAAGAGGGGGACCCACACGGCCCCUGGUCCCAUCACCCCUGUCAGAAGAGGACCGCUGCCUAGCUUGGCAAGGCUUGUCUCAGGAGCCUCUCUAGCCCCCAGGGCUUGCCCGGCUCACCCACCAUCUGUUGGAUGAUUCACGCCUGGCUGGAAGCAAAGUUGGGACUCGAUUUGGGUCUUUGGACUUGAAUUUGUUCCAAAAUCAAAGGUGUCAAGCUUAGUGGCCUUAAAAUUCUGGAAUCGUUUUGGGAAAUGAGAACCUUGUACACUCUCUUGACAUGUUCUCUGUUAUCAUAGAAAUGUGAAGAAGGUUUCCCAUCUGUGCUGGGGCCCCUCUGGAGCAGGGGUGGGCGCUCUUGGACAGCUCCUGCUCACAGCCACCUGCCCCUUCCUAGAUCAGCUUGCUUCCCUCCUGUCCCCCUUCCUCCCUCCUUUGCUUUUAUGUCUCCUCCCACCCCCCACCCCAUUUCAGCUUCCUGUGCAGAAAUUUGAGUGUAUAAUAGGCCUAAUUCAUGUCGUUCUGUUAUCACUAGUCCAUGCAAGGCCCCUCUUUUGUUUGUGAUUCUCUUUUAUCCACAGUCCCUUUUGCCAUUCUGUACCCCCUCUCCUGCCGCAGGCAAAUACUCCAGCAAGUGAUUCUUUUCUUUGUAGGUGUCCUUGUGAAAAGAGUAUUGCUGCUUUGGAU